rnacentral:rRNA from 1 species
UACGUGGGGUGCGAGCGUUGUCCGGAUUUAUUGGGCGUAAAGAGCUCGUAGGCGGUUUGUCGCGUCGGCCGUGAAAUCUCCACGCUUAACGUGGAGCGUGCGGUCGAUACGGGCAGACUUGAGUUCGGUAGGGGAGACUGGAAUUCCGGGUGUAGCGGUGAAAUGCGUAGAUAUCCGGAGGAACACCGAUGGCGAAGGCAGCUUCCUGGUCCGUAUCUGACGCUGAGGUGCGAAAGCGUGGGGAGCGAACGGG